GCAUAGCAGCCACCACUGAAAACAACAAACGUUAAGUUUUAGAAAUCCAAAAUUCGAUUGUUAGCCGAGCAAUAUUGCUCUUGUUUUGUCAGCAUUUGUAUAAACGAUAAAAGCUGCUGAAAUGUCGAAGAAGACAACUGAACUAAAAGCUGAAGGCUUUACCGUUAAGUCCUGUAUGAGGAACGCAGUGGUGGCCGGCCCCCCAACUACAGGUGUUUUUCAGGAGCGGCCAGCCAAAUCAAGCUUCUUUCGCAAGUGCUACAACAGAGGCGACCUCCCAGUUAAGGUGGACUUCAACAAAAGAGGCACAGGCAUCGCAUGGAAGGUGGAUAUUGAGCAACUGGACUACAACCACUACCUGCCACUGUUCUUUGAGGGAUUAUGUGAAACUGAUCAUCCGUUGGAGCUCUUGGCCUUACAGGGAAUCCAUGACAUGUUGGAAUGUGGAGGCUUCAAGAUCCUACCAGUCAUUCCCCAUCUUAUCCAGCACAUCUGCAAUGCCCUGAACACAAAGAAGGAAAAGGUGAUGUGCAACACCAUGAAAGUCCUGCAGCAUUUGGUGCAGUCUGCAGACAAUGUGGGGGAGGCCCUUGUCCCGUACUUCAGACGGAUCCUUCCCGUUUUUAACCUCUUCAAGAACAAGAGGAGAGAUAUCUAUCUAUCAAACAAUCACAGCUUGCCAAGACCCCUCCUCCAUUAAAAUACGAGCAGAAUGUGGGGAAACAGAGAGACAAAGGCAAGAUGGAAGGAGAGAUAGCGCGAGUGAGCAUGAGAUGAAAUCCAGACAAACUUGGAGAUAAUACCGACUACAGCCAGCAGAACAUUGCUGACCUGAUCGAAGAGACUCUGAUGAUGUUGGAG